CCUCCCGGGGACCCGCAGGGCUGCGGGGAGGGCCGCGGGCUCCCGGCCGCCCUCCAGCGCGGAGGCGGGGCUUGCCGGCGGGCGGGAGAGGCCCCCAGACCCCGCGGGCGGGGGGCGCCCUCCCUCGAGCUGCCGGUCGGGCACGCUUGCGGGCGUCCGGAGCGCUACCGGGUGCCCUGGGGUUGUGUUCGGGGUCGCUUUUGCCUUUCCUGGCCCAAACCUUCCUCCGCCAGAAGAUGCCCCGGGCGGGAAAAGAACCGGCGGGGCAAGAACAUUGUGGAACCUUCUGGACAAGGGGAUGCAAAGAAGGAAAAGCCAAGUGGAGUGUGGGCACACGCAGACCACCCCGAUGGUGUUGAUUUCCAUGACUUAAAUCAUUCAAUCCAGAACUGGUCCCCGCUUCCCUAAAUCCUCCACAGAACCAUGGAACAGAAGCCCCAAUGUAAAGAGACUCCUAUGAAGACUUCCCCUAGGAUGGAUUGAAACCUUCCCAUGCAGAACAGCUGAUGCCACAACGGUGACUAAGGAACUUUUAGAAAAUAUAUUUCCUGAUGGGGUGUCCAAAGAGUGAUCUCCAGGGAUAGGGGAACCCACUUCCCUGGGUGGCCAAACUUUCCACAACUUAGAAACUGGAGAGUGGGUCUUCUGGAAACAACCCCUAAGGAAGGUUGCCCUUGAACCUCGUUGGAAGGGAUCAUACCAUGUUCUCCUUACUACUCAGGUGGCAGCCAAAUCUCAGGGACUUGCACCUUGGGGUCCACGUGUCCCAAUUGAAAAGGGCUCUUCCGGACUCAGAACUGUAUGCGAGCCAGAGACGUAAAGUUAACAUAGACCGGGGAGCUUCCUCCCCCGAAGCCGUCAACAUCUUGAGUUGGACAACUUUCCCAAGAUCAUGGGUCAAGCUCUUAAUCUCCAAUAUGAAAUUGUUAUUCCUUUUGUCUAUUUGCUAUUUGCUUUCCUCUCUAUUAAUGCCUGGGGAGACACCACUAUAAUUAGGAUUUCGCAAAUACUACCACUGCAGGAAACUUAGCGAAUUGCUGGAUAUGCCACGCCAUGCCAAAAUCGGGAUGUGCAGGGAGAGACCCCUUAGUUCACCCUAUGAGUAAUUUCACUGACAUCCCACAUGCCGUUGUAUGCCUAAAUUGUUCCACAGGCCCCUUUUAUAAAGUUAAAAUAUUAAAUCUUUGCCUUAAGUUAAAGAUCCCUAAAUCUGGGAUUUGGAAAUGAA